UCUAACUCAAUUGCACACAGCACUCUCCUGUCUUCAAACCCCCAGCAGUCUCCCCCAUUAUCUUCUGAAUUAACUCCCAUCUCUGGAGCCCAGCUUGAGAGGGCUUCCUCUAUCUGGUCUCCAGGGUGACAGCCGGUCAGACCCAGGGCAGACUCGGUGACUGUGCUGACGGAUGCAGCCUCAGGCCCUCAGGAAAGACAGGGCGUCAGCCUCUUCAGAGAGGGAGAUGCAGACAUCUGCUGAGCUGAAAGGAGGCAUGCAUGCCGCAGGAGUCGGAGAGGCCUUCAGUCCCAGAAGAUUCUCAUGUUGCUUACGAAGCUUACUCUUAAGAUCGCUAUAACCUUGAGAUGUGACUGCAGCGCCUUCUCAGUCUGCGUUCCCCUGGGGCUCACUCUGGGAGUUGUGGACAAGCCUAGAAUACCGUGCAGCCACUGCCAGAGCGUCACACAGAUUUGUUCACCGCCCCAGAGCCCCCUCGCCUCCCAUUCAUCUCUCCCCCUUCCCUAACCUCCUCUGGCCCUGCUCGCAGUGACUUUCUGAUGCUGAUGGCUCUACCCCGUGUCAUUCUCAAUGCACCUCAGUGCUUCUCCUCCCGGCCUGAGCAAGAAAGGGAGGCGUGGGGAGGACCCAGGAGUCCUGCGAGCCCCACUUGGUGGCCGCUGUCCUCAGCCGUUUGCUCUGCUGCUCACCCAGUUCCCCUCAGACAGGAGCUCAGCUCGAAACGAAGAGGCUCUGGAACUGUGUUGCAGCAGCAUGAAAGAGACUGAGCCAUCCUGCAGCUGUUCUCGCUACCCUCUGCCGCCAUACGCCUUUUCCUGUGAUGCUGACUCCCGUCCAGAUGAACAACAUGGUCCAGGAUACUUUGCCCUGGCUCCUGGCCUGCAUAGAGGUGCAGCUGGAGGAGAGUGAGGACAGGUACCUGUUUCUGUUCCCUCCCUGCAGCGAAUGGCUGCAUUCUCCUCCCAGACACUGCAGCCCUUAGCAAGCAGCCCAUCUUCUAACCUCUUCCAUGCCACCCUAAGGUGAGCUUGUGAUGCUGUGCCAAUGUUUGCCAAGCUCCCUCAGCCCUGCUCACACCUUAAUAAAUGGCCCUUCAUUCCAUAAGGGCCUCAGACAC